UGGGGAAUAUUGGACAAUGGGCGCAAGCCUGAUCCAGCCAUGCCGCGUGAGUGAUGAAGGCCUUAGGGUUGUAAAGCUCUUUCAGUAGGGAAGAUAAUGACGGUACCUACAGAAGAAGCCCCGGCUAACUUCGUGCCAGCAGCCGCGGUAAUACGAAGGGGGCUAGCGUUGUUCGGAUUUACUGGGCGUAAAGCGCACGUAGGCGGAUCGUUAAGUCAGAGGUGGAAUCCCGGAGCUCAACUCCGGAACUGCCUUUGAUACUGGCGAUCUCGAGUCCGGAAGAGGUAAGUGGAACUCCUAGUGUAGAGGUGGAAUUCGUAGAUAUUAGGAAGGACACCAGUGGCGAAGGCGGCUUACUGGUCCGGAACUGACGCUGAGGUGCGAAAGCGUGGGGAGCAAACA
rnacentral:rRNA from 1 species